rnacentral:rRNA from 1 species
UACGAAGGGGGCGAGCGUUGUUCGGAAUCACUGGGCGUAAAGGGCGCGUAGGCGGCCCUUCUUGUCGCGUGUGAAAGCCCCGGGCUCAACCUGGGAACGGCGCGCGAGACGGGGGGGCUGGAGUUCGGGAGAGGAGAGUGGAAUUCCUGGUGUAGCGGUGAAAUGCGCAGAUAUCAGGAAGAACACCCGUGGCUAAGGCGGCUCUCUAGUACGGUACUGACGCUGAGACGCGAAAGCGUGGGGAGCAAACAGG